rnacentral:rRNA from 1 species
CCUACGGGAGGCAGCAGUGGGGAAUAUUGCACAAUGGGCGCAAGCCUGAUGCAGCCAUGCCGCGUGUGUGAAGAAGGCCUUCGGGUUGUAAAGCACUUUCAGCGGGGAUGAAGGCGGUGAGGUUAAUAACCUCAUCGAUUGACGUUACCCGCAGAAGAAGCACCGGCUAACUCCGUGCCAGCAGCCGCGGUAAUACGGAGGGUGCAAGCGUUAAUCGGAAUUACUGGGCGUAAAGCGCACGCAGGCGGUCUGUCAAGUCGGAUGUGAAAUCCCCGGGCUCAACCUGGGAACUGCAUUCGAAACUGGCAGGCUAGAGUCUUGUAGAGGGGGGUAGAAUUCCAGGUGUAGCGGUGAAAUGCGUAGAGAUCUGGAGGAAUACCGGUGGCGAAGGCGGCCCCCUGGACAAAGACUGACGCUCAGGUGCGAAAGCGUGGGGAGCAAACAGGAUUAGAUACCCCAGUAGUC